AGGUGCUGCAUGGAGUGAGUGGCGGCAUCCACCGUGAGGAGGAGAGGAGCUCUGAUACCCUCAGGACCCGCCAGGAGGGGCAUCACGGAGGCUUCUGGACGACUUGGAGCUGUGUCCUGGGGAGAAAACCGCUCCUGUCUGGGCCCUGAGUGCUGAGGAGGAAGCUGCCAUGCACUUUUCCCUGGCAUUUUUCCUGCAUGGAGAGAGAGGUCCAAGGUGCCCUACAUCGUGCGUCAGUGCGUGGAGGAGAUCGAGCGCCGAGGCAUGGAGGAGAUAACAAGGACGUGUCAGUGAUGAUGAGCGAGAUGGACGUGAACGCCAUCGCAGGCAUGCUGAAGCUGUACUUCCGUGAGCUGCCCGAGCCCCUCUUCACUGACGAGUUCUACCCCAACUUCGCAGAGGGCAUCGCUCUUUCAGACCCAGUUGCAAAGAAGAGCUGCAUGCUCAACCUGCUGUCGUCCCUGCCGGAGGCCAACCUGCUCACCUUCCUUUUCCUUCUAGACCACCUGGAAAGGAUGGCAGAGAAGGAGGCAGUCAAUAAGAUGUCCCUGCACAACCUUGGCACGGUGUUUGGCCCCACGCUGCUCCGGCCCUCCGAGAAGGAGAGCAAGCUCCCUGCCAACCCCAGCCAGCCCAUCACCAUGACUGACAGCUGGUCCUUGGAGGUCAUGUCCCAGGGUCCCAGGGCUGGUGGUUGCUUUGGGUCUACAGCUACGUCUUACCCGCCUCCUGCCUCAACAGCCUGUGUGGUGGCAAAGCCGGUGUGGGGCUGGGGAACGCAGCGUUCUCCAGGAGGGGGACCCGGCUCUCCUUCUGCAAUGCAGGCGAAGGCCUAGAUGCCAGUGUGACCUCCCACAAGGCGUGGCUUCCAGACUCCCCGGCCGGAAGUGAUGCUUUUUUGCCGUGGGCCCUGGGUUUGAAGCAGCCUGGCUUUCUCUUGGUAAGUGGCUGGUGUCUUAGCAGCUGCAAUCUGAGCUCAGCCACCUACACACCACCGUGGCCGACACUUUCAUUAAGAAGUUUCCUGAGA
rnacentral:lncRNA from 1 species